GCGGGUGUGAUGUAGCGGCUAGCAUCUGAGUGCGCCACACUCAGCGCGAGGGUUCGAGUCCCUCCACUCGCU
rnacentral:tRNA from 4 species